CUAAGAAUAUUCCGCAAUGGACGGAAGUCUGACGGAGCGACGCCGCGUGGAUGACGAAGGCCGAAAGGUUGUAAAGUUCUUUUGCUGGGGAAGAAUAACCGCAGGAGGGAAUGCCUGUGGGAUGACAAGAACCGGCGAAUAAGCCCCGGCCAACUACGUGCCAGCAGCCGCGGUAACACGUAGGGGGGCGAGCGUUGUUCGGAAUUACUGGGCGUAAAGGGCAUGUAGGCGGCUUGGAAAGCCUGGCGUGAAAGUCUGCAGCUUAACUGCAGGGGUGCGCUGGGAACUGCUGAGCUUGAGUGACGGAGAGGGAGCUGGAAUUCCUGGUGUAGGGGUGAAAUCUGUAGAUAUCAGGAAGAACACCGAUGGCGAAGGCAAGCUCCUGGCCGAUGACUGACGCUGAGGUGCGAAAGUGUGGGGAUCAAACAGGAUUAGAUACCCUGGUAGUCCACACAGUCAACGAUGUGCACUAGGUGCUGGGGCGGUAGCUUCGGUGCCGGAGCGAACGUGGUAAGUGCACCGCCUGGGGAGUAUGCUCGCAA
rnacentral:rRNA from 1 species